UACGUAGGUGACCAGCGUUGUCCGGAUUUACUGGGCGUAAAGAGCGCGCAGGCGGUCGUUCAAGUCGAGUGUGAAAGCCCCCGGCUCAACUGGGGAGGGUCACUUGAUACUGAUCGACUCGAAGGCAGGAGAGGGAAGCGGAAUUCCCGGUGUAGUGGUGAAAUGCGUAGAUAUCGGGAGGAACACCAGUGGCGAAGGCGGCUCUCUGGGCCUUACCUGACGCUGAGGAGCGAAAGCGUGGGUAGCGAACAGG
rnacentral:rRNA from 1 species